ACAUGCAAAAGAAUUUUUUUAAUGUUGAACUUUAAAAGAUUUGGCAUAAAUAAACUGAGUUACUGAGAAAAUAAAUGAAAUAUGGAUUCAUAUCUUACAACACUCAGACUAUAAACAUGUAAUGUGGCAAUUAAAUAAUUUAAAUUAGGUGAUUCAUUUUGCAUAAUUACUACCUUUACUGCCAUCUCCUUCUUUUGGAGACAAUGGAGGAAGGUCACCAACUCUUUCUACAAGACUUUGAAGCUCUGAGGCUCCAUUUUCUUCUUGCAAGUUGUUCAAUUGAGAAUUUUCCUCCGCCAUGAAAGAAAAGCUAAGCUGGUCAACUUUGGCACAGUAGCUUUGCUGCUUUCUGAUAAGUAACGAAAUCAGAGAAAUUAAGCCAAUAACGAACACAAAAGUAGAUGCCGAAGUGAAUCCCUACAUUAGGUGAGUUUACUUUAGUUUCUCACACCAAACGACUGGUGGUUGCCGUUUUGUGGUUUAAAAUUUUUUUCCUACAUUAGGGGUUUUAAUUUAAGAUUUUAAUUAGGAAUUAAUAAUUAUUUUUAAUUAUUUAAUGACUAUACAACCUGCUUUUCAAUUUUGUAGUUGAAAAUUGAAAUUAGAGAUCAAUUUAAAGUAUGUCGAGAAUGGAUCAAAUUCAAUUAAAAGUAAUUCAAGUACAUUCUCAUCUAUUAUAUUUAAUUAUUCUAUUGUAAUAUUUGAAUUUACAAUUCUUUUUAAUGGGAGGUAAACUCUUACUAGUUUAUGAAAUUUCCACUCUUCUAAGUAAACUUUCAAGUUUGACAACCUUGUGUGUAUUAUAUAUUACCAAAUAAUUUAAUAAUAAUAAUAUAAUGAAUGAAGAGACCAUGUGAGAGGAAGAGAGACAAAUUCUGACUGAUAAAGCAGUGGUGGUAUGGGGUAAAGGUAGGUGGAUGCACCUCCAUCUCAACCGUUAGAUGAAGAGGCCCUCAUAAUCAACAGUUGUUUUAGAGGCCUGGAAGGAUGCACCAUUGAAAAGGGCCCCAAGCAAAGAUAGGAAAGCAAAUGCAUAGUUUUAGUUGAAAAUAUAAGCAAAUGCAUGGUAUCAUUGAUAAUAUACCAACUACAAAGUAUCUUUGGGGCAUCAACCUUUUAAUCUUAUGAGUGGAAAGUGGGUUUCUUGAGGGAAAAUAUAACAUAACUUGCAGGGUUGUCCUCUCUAGUGGCAUGCUCAAUUAUUAUUCACAAAAAAAGUGCCAAUUCUUGGUUUUUCAAUUUUCAUUUCCUUGACGUAUUUUCUAACAUAAAAAAAAGGCCAUAACUUUCCUAUAUUCAGUUUCUUGGUCAGCAUAACCUUCCUUAUUCAUUCAGAACUUUAAAAAUAAAAUAAAAGCCAUUUAAAACACUUAGGAAUAUUAUGACUCAAAAUACAAGACAAAUAUUGAUAUGCCUUAGAAUUGAGGUUAUCUAAGGUGUAAACAGAAAGUGCUCCUAAAAGAUUAAAUCCUCAACAUGCAACCCUUUUUCAAGUCAAGAUCAAGACCAUAGUAAAGAAUUCAAACUUUUAACUAGGACAAGAAAAUUCAAAACCCUAAAUGCAUAUUGAACGAAUCCGCUGUCAAAUGCGUAUGGGCAAUCACGAAAAAUGACACGAAAAAGCCAAAAAUUAUGAUGAUAAAGAAGAAAUACAGUUAAAGGGGAAUACACUUCAUAGGUUUUUCAACCGAGAUGCAGUUAAAAGGCACGUUACAAUCCAAUACACGUCACCUAAUAACAUACUAUUCAAGAAGUCCCUGAUUCUUUUUCAAUGUUCGUAAAAGAUUUCUACAUUCAAUCCUUAAGUAAAAAUACCUAAUUACCGGGGUGGUGAUCUCCGUGAGUGAGGUGGUGAAGAGCUGACUGCGAGUGUGCAAGUUCUGCACAGAGGGUGCCCUACGGAAAAAAGAUCGAGAGAACAGAGUGGGUGUUUGAGGGAGAGAUAAAACCCUAUACAGAAUCAACGAGAAGUCAAAAGUCUCAUAACAUACACAAUGUUCGGGAGAAAAU
rnacentral:sRNA from 1 species